CCUACGGGAGGCAGCAGUGAGGAAUAUUGGUCAAUGGGCGAGAGCCUGAACCAGCCAAGUAGCGUGCAGGACGACUGCCCUAUGGGUUGUAAACUGCUUUUAUCCGGGAAUAAAGUGCGGCACGUGUGCCGUUUUGUAUGUACCUGAUGAAUAAGGACCGGCUAAUUCCGUGCCAGCAGCCGCGGUAAU
rnacentral:rRNA from 1 species